rnacentral:tRNA from 2 species
GGGGAUGUAGCUCAGUGGUAGAGCACAUGCUUUGCAUGUGUGAGUUCCCAGGUUCACUCCCUGGCAUCUCCA